UUAAUUGAAACCAAAACUAGAGGUAUAUUAUUGUUAAUAAUAUUAUUGAGAUCAACUCCAAUUAAA
rnacentral:tRNA from 1 species